rnacentral:rRNA from 1 species
UACGGAGGGGGCGAGCGUUAUUCGGAAUUAUUGGGCGUAAAGGGCGCGUAGGCGGCCUGGUAAGUCAAAGGUGAAAUCCCUCGGCUCAACUGAGGAACUGCCUUUGAAACUGUCAGGCUCGAGUCCGGGAGGGGGUGGCGGAAUUCCCAGUUUAGCGGUGAAAUGCGUAGAUAUUGGGAGGAACACCAGUGGCGAAGGCGGCCACCUGGACCGGAUCUGACGCUGAUGCGCGAAAGCGUGGGUAGCAAACAGG